CCCCGAGCUGAGCUGUGCUGGGACAGCCGGGGAGGCGCUCCGGGAGGGCACUGGAACCUGCGAGAGCAGAUGUGAAGGGAUAACCUGCCCGUGGGACACAGCAAGAGCUCUGGAGCCACGUGGGUGAGGUAAAUUGUUGGUGUGGGGCUUCCUGGAGCAGCAGGAGUGGUCAGAAGUGAAGUUGUCAAUGCUGCUUUGAAGAUCCUUGUUUGAAAGGUGAAGAUGGAAACCUGGAGCCCACAGUUUAAACAGGGCAGCUGGAGAAUUUGUUUUCAGAAUGUGGAUGUAGGAAUUAAAAACAUCAAAGGUGGUUUGGGGCAAGAUAUAACAAGAAUUAUGUGUACAAUUUAUUGUUAAUCUCCUCUCAUUGCUUGUUGGAAAUACAUUUUUACAUGACCUCAAUUAAACAUAUUUAUAUUUAA